GUCUUAUUGAAUUUAAUUUUAAGUCGAUCUGCCCAAUGAAUAUUUAAAUGGCUGCAGUAUAAUUGACUGUACAAAGGUAGCAUAAUCAAUUGGUUUUUAAAUGAAAUCUAGAAUGAAAGAAUUAAUGAAAUAUAUACUGUCUCAAUUAUAUAAAAUGAAUUUAAAAUUUUAAUUAAAAUGUUAAAAUUAAUUUAUGGGACGAUAAGACCCUAUAGAAUUUUAUAUUAAUUUAUUUUUAUUGUUAAUUUAAAAUUUAAAUUAAUAUUUAAUUGGGAGGAUUAUUAAAUUUAAAAAACUUUAAUAUAAUAAGAACUUAAAUUAAAGAAUUUUUUUUUGAUCUUUAAGUUAAAAUUAAUAGAAUAAAUUACCUUAGGGAUAACAGCGUAAUAUUUUUUUAUAGAUCUUAUAGAAAAAAAUGAUUGCGACCUCGAUGUUGAAUUAAGAUAAAUUUUAAAUGUAGAAGUUUAAUAAUUAAGUCUGUUCGACUUUUAAAAUCUUACAUGAUUUGAGUUCAAAUCGACGUAAGU
rnacentral:rRNA from 1 species